rnacentral:rRNA from 1 species
ACAGAGGUCCCGAGCGUUGUUCGGAUUCACUGGGCGUAAAGGGUGCGUAGGUGGCAGGGUAAGUCCGAUGUAAAAUCUUCGAGCCCAACUCGAAAAGGUCAUUGGAAACUACCAAGCUAGAGGAUUGGAGAGGGGACUGGAAUUCUCGGUGUAGCAGUGAAAUGCGUAGAUAUCGAGAGGAACACCAGUGGCGAAGGCGAGUCCCUGGACAACUCCUGACACUGAGGCACGAAAGCUAGGGGAGCAAACAGG